ensembl:lncRNA LINC01094 long intergenic non-protein coding RNA 1094
GCAUUUUGGCCAUUGUGGUGAAGCUGGGGCACAUUUUAUCUUCAGUACCAACUGUUGGCAGUCUUUUUUUUUUUCUGCUACUUGAGUUUCAUUUCCUUUCACACAGUGGCUAGAUACUUUCGUUCCAGUUUCUUCUUUUACUUAAAGUUGUCCUCUCUACAAGAAAUUCUGUUCUGUCUUCCUGAGGCUGCUGUUUCUGGGCAUGGCCAGGGGAUCUUCAGACUUUACAAACCAGUUGUGCAGAGCCAGGCAUUUCAAUAAGGAACAAAAUGCUGAGUAACAACAUGAAGUCAGAGUGUUGCUUGCCAAGAGCUGGGAGGCCUGGGUGGUUUCCCAAUCUUAAAGAAGCAGAAGGAUAUUAAAGUGAGCCUCCCAAAGGAAAACGUGGAUCUACUUACCAACGCAGAAAAUGAUACACACGGAUUCGAUUUAGGCACGCUACAUUCAAAUGACUUGGAAGAGCAGGUUCUCUGAGCCAGGAUACUAAAGUCCCUGUUUAGGAAAGAGCCACGUUGUAUGUUUACCCUACCACAAAGAUACAGAAUUCUGGAGGAAAGUGGCUCUGGGAAUUGAACAGUGGCUCAGUGAUGUUGGGGCCACCAAGUCUGCAAUUCUCCCUACCUGUUCUUCAUGGUUGUAAGAUGACUGCUGCAAUUCUCGGCAUCAUGUGCAUGUUAAUGUCAGGAGGAAGAAAGGAAGAGGGAGCACUGGGAUGUUACAUUCAUUUUGUCAGGAAAAGCAAAGCCUUUCCAGACAGCUCCGAAACUUGCUUACCUCUCAUUGGCCAGCACCAUCACUUGACCACUUGUCCACUCCUAGCUGCAAGGAAAGUGGCAAAGUAGAAGGUAUUUGAGAAUGUCUGCUGGGUUAGCCAAAACAAUAGUGACUUCUACACCCAAUUUUCUGGGCACUGCAGAAGUAUCCUUGAGUCCUAUGUGAUCAGAGGGAGAGCAAACCUCAAUAAUGAAACAGAUUCAAUUUCCAUCACCCAGUGAGACACCAUGGGAUUAGAAUAAAUUUUUAAAAAAACAAAUUGAAAAAAAUGCAUUUUUAAAACAACAAAAUCAGAAAGGAUGAAAGGUGAUAUUUCUAGCAUAUCAGUUUGUGGUGGUAAAUUAAUUACCUUAUACAAAGGCCUCAGUGACUUUCUUCUCCUUACCUAACGAAUCAUCUUUAAAAUAAGUAAAAUAAAGAAACAAGAGCAGCAGCAGAUGCUUCCUAAAAAGAAGUUACCAAAUCUGUUCACCACAAACCUGAGAAUUCAACUGUGGACAUUUGGACACCAGCAAUGAACAUGAAACUCAGCUUAUGAGGCAUAUUUGGCUAAAGGUCAAGGUGACUUAAAGUUCAUCAUAGGACAUCUACAAUUUGCAAAGCAGGUGACUGGAUAUGGACUCCUUCCAAGUCUCAUUUAAUUGGAUAAUGCCUACGUUUUAAGUAUCAGAAGUGAGUCUUUCUCUAUUAAAUGAAGUCAGUUCCACUAAAACCUAAAUCUUGUUUGGCAGGCACUCCAUGUUUCUUAAUUUUUAUUCCAUGCUGUAUAUUCUUUUAGACUUGAUUUUCACUUUUUUUUCUUUUUUCCUGUACAUUUAUCUUUGCUGUGAAACAAAGUGCCCUGCUUUGAAGGACAGGUUUGUGGGCUGCUGGUGGUGAGACAACAGCAGUCCUUCCAAGUCUUCCUCCCAUCACUCUGUUAGCUCUCCCUUUGUUUUUAAUUAGCAUUACACCAGUUAAUUCUGUUAUCUCUUAACCCUGGUUCUGCAUCCUCUUCUUCUUUUCUAUUCCUUACUCCGCUCCUGUUUUUUCUUGUUCUGCUUUUCCAAGAAAUGUCUUGUCUCCUCAUCAGUUGACUGUCUUCUCUUUCCAGAGGGACCAUAAAGGUGCCAGCCUAAGGAACACGUAAAACGUGGGAACAGACAAACAAGCUGCUGCCUAUUACAGAGAUAGAUAAUUAACUUUGGACCAUUACAUGCAAUUCAUCAGCUUAUCUUUUUCAAACUUUAUAUAAGAAGUCAUUUCCCAAUGGUAACCACUUGCCAGCUGCAACUUUGACGCAUAUUAUCAGGAUAGGUGAGAUUGAUGGGGGCCCUUUGAACUCUUCCCAGGGAAUUAUCUUUAUAAUGUUACAGUUUUCUCUAUAGCAUGGUCAUAUUGUUAACAUUGGUUAUAAGGUCAUAUGGUUAGUAUGGUUAGUAUUGGUGGCUCACAGCUGUAAUACCAGCACUUUGGGAGGCCAAGGUGGGAGGAUCACUUGAGCCCUGGUGUUCAAAACCAGCUCUGGAAACAUAGCAAGACCUUGUCUCUACAAAAAAAAAUUAAAUAAAUUAAAAGAUUAGCUGGGCAUGGUGGCACAUGCCUGUAGUCCUCACUACUUGGGAAACUAAGGUGGGAGGAUCCUUUGAGCUUGGGAGGUUGAGGCUGCAGUGAGCUGUGGUUGUGCCAUGGCACUCCAGCCUGGGUGACAGAGUGAGAGCCU